rnacentral:rRNA from 1 species
UCGAGGGGUAGUAUAGCAAUAUAUGAGACCGGCGCACGGGUGCGUAACGCGUAUGCAACCUACCUUUUACAGGGGAAUAGCCCAGAGAAAUUUGGAUUAAUGCCCCAUGGUAUAUUUAAGUGGCAUCACUUGAUUAUUAAAGUUCCAACGGUAAAAGAUGGGCAUGCGUCCUAUUAGCUAGAUGGUAAGGUAACGGCUUACCAUGGCAACGAUAGGUAGGGGUCCUGAGAGGGAGAUCCCCCACACUGGUACUGAGACACGGACCAGACUCCUACGGGAGGCAGCAGUGAGGAAUAUUGGACAAUGGGCGCAAGCCUGAUCCAGCCAUGCCGCGUGCAGGAAGACGGUCCUAUGGAUUGUAAACUGCUUUUGUACGGGAAGAAACACUCCUACGUGUAGGAGCUUGACGGUACCGUAAGAAUAAGGAUCGGCUAACUCCGUGCCAGCAGCCGCGGUAAUACGGAGGAUCCAAGCGUUAUCCGGAAUCAUUGGGUUUAAAGGGUCCGUAGGCGGUUUGAUAAGUCAGUGGUGAAAGCCCAUCGCUCAACGAUGGAACGGCCAUUGAUACUGUCAGACUUGAAUUGUUGGGAAGUAACUAGAAUAUGUAGUGUAGCGGUGAAAUGCUUAGAUAUUACAUGGAAUACCAAUUGCGAAGGCAGGUUACUAUCAACACAUUGACGCUGAUGGACGAAAGCGUGGGGAGCGAACAGGAUUAGAUACCCUGGUAGUCCACGCCGUAAACGAUGGAUACUAGCUGUUCGGGGCAACCUGAGUGGCUAAGCGAAAGUGAUAAGUAUCCCACCUGGGGAGUACGUUCGCAAGAAUGAAACUCAAAGGAAUUGACGGGGG